AUUUCCAUUCUCUUCGUAAAGAAGUAAUCCUCGGUCUUCAGAAGGGGAGCAACCCGAGGCGGGAUACCGUAGAAGCGUCCGACGAAAGCUGCAGCUUCAGUCCGAUCCGAGCCCCCGUCACAAGACGGUCCGAGUGGUGUUUUCCUGGGAGACCUUACUGUCGUCUCGCUAGAGGAAUAGCUGAAACACAUGGAGAGGUGGGGGGGGGGGGGGCAGUAAUCUAUUAUAGUGUUGCACUUGAUGGCGUAGUUCAUAUAAAAGCGGGAGAGGAGGAAAAUAUAUAUCAACAGUUAACAGUCAGUGCACAGAGGAAGACAAGCACUUGGUUAAAAGAAAGUCUUAAAUAAAGCAGAGUAUAUUUUUAAAAUUC